rnacentral:misc_RNA from 1 species
AACGCACCUUGCGCUCCCUGGUAUUCCGGGGAGCACGCCUGUUCGAGCGUCAUGAAGCUCUCAAAUAGCCUCUUUUCUUAAUUGCAAAGAUGGAUGUUUGGAUUUGGACUCUGCUGUGUUACAAACAGCUGGUCCGAAAGAUAUUAGCUGAUCCUAGCAAGACUUGGUUCUACUCGGCGUGAUAAUUAUCUAACGUUGAGGACAUCGCAAGAUGGCCAAAUCGAAACUAUAUGGAUUGCUUCUAAUCGUCUUCAUCGACAACUUUUUAUCAAUCUGACCUCGAAUCAGGCGGGACUACCCGCUGAACUUAA